GAUAACUCAGUGGGCGGAUACGGUGUAAUACGGAUGGGGAAAGCGUUAUCUGUGUUUAUUGGGUUUGAAGGGUCAGGAGGCGGACUUAUAAGUCAGUGGUGAAAGCCUGUCGCUUAACGAUAGAACUGCCAUUGAUACUGGAAGUCUUGAGUAUAAUUGAGGUAGCUGGAAUAAGUAGGGGAGCGGUGAAAUGCAUAGAUAUUACGUAGAACACCAAUUGCGAAGGCAGGUUACCAAGUUAUAACUGACGCUGAGGGACGAAAGCGUGGGGAGCGAACAGGAUUAGAUACCCCUGUAGUC
rnacentral:rRNA from 1 species